rnacentral:rRNA from 1 species
CUGCAUCUGAAACUGUUAGGCUAGAGUAGGUGAGAGGGAAGUAGAAUUUCAGGUGUAGCGGUGAAAUGCGUAGAGAUCUGAAGGAAUACCGAUGGCGAAGGCAGCCUCCUGGCAUCAUACUGACACAGAGGSUCGAAAGCGUGGGUAGCAAACAGGAUUAGAUACCCUGGUAGUCCACGCCGUAAACGAUGUCUACUAGUCGUUGGGUCCCUUGAGGACUUAGUGACGCAGCUAACGCAAUAAGUAGACCGCCUGGGGAGUACGGCCGCAA